rnacentral:rRNA from 1 species
CUCGUAGGCGGUUUGUCGCGUCGGGAGUGAAAUCUUCGGGCUUAACUCGGAGCUUGCUUUCGAUACGGGCAGACUUGAGGCAUUCAGGGGAGAACGGAAUUCCUGGUGUAGCGGUGAAAUGCGCAGAUAUCAGGAGGAACACCGGUGGCGAAGGCGGUUCUCUGGGAAUGUUCUGACGCUGAGGAGCGAAAGUGUGGGGAGCGAACA